UUCAAAACACACGACGAUCCUGCUCACCACAUAAAGCCCAGUUCCCUCUGGCCUCUAUAGGUUGGCUAUCACCAAGGAACCUGUGCCUCCUCUGAGACAAAGGCACCACUUCAGUAACAGCUCCAGGGAAUGAGCCAAGAUACAAGUGGAUUACUUUUUGGGAAGCUCUGGAAAGAUCACAGAACAGUUUUCUAACAACUCUGCCAGAUGUAUCUACUUUUUCCCAGAGGGACAAGUACAGGAAGGAGGUAAAAUGACUGAUGACUAAAGCUGGAAGGCAAAAUGGGGCCACAUCUCCUACGAAGAUCUCGUCUCCCCACUGAAGACCCUGGCCCAGCCUUCUGCAGUGCCACGCUCCGUGUAUUUGACAAGCUGAGUUGGACACUCCGUGUGGCAGAGUGUCAGUUUGUCAAAUACCCCAAGUGCGGCAUGUGCCUAGCAACUUCAGGCCAGGGCACUUCAGAUACAACAAAUAGACUAUCAGCUAAAUAAGGAACAUAUGGAAAGCACCAACUAAGCUCUCACAAGUUAUUUUUGGGAACUUUGAGGGAAUGUAAGCAUUUUAUCUGAGGUUACUAAUGGAAAAAUCAGAUGGCUCUGGAAGCAACAGUCCUGGGUGGGUUUUGCUCACACUGUGGGAGUCUGAGGUGGGUACAGUAGUCUUUAAAAGGUAUCCAGGGCUCAGAAAUGUAAGUGUUACUUGAUUCAUUGUUUUUUUUUUUUCCUUCACAUUCACCUUCCAGCAUCUCUCAGCAGGGAUACCAGAAGUCUCACCACUGCCAUGGCAAGACUUAGAAACCCACUUUCCUGACAGUCAGCCUUGGCUCUAAAUACACUUUGACAUCACCCAUCUCUCUUUUUCCUCUUGCUUUUUCUCCUUCUGAGAAUACGCUCUACAUUUCUUUCUAGCUAUCCAGUUCCUCUCCAUAUUUCCUGGCCCAGCCAGAGUCCAGUCUCUCCAGUGACUUUUGAAAGUCAAAUUACACUUUUUAAUUCUCAAAUUGCUUUUUGCCUGGUUCCUUUUAUGUACCCCUUUAUCUCCUACUGCCCAAUGACACCAUGUUAAUUGUUAGUGAACUUUUCCAGAGGAUAUUUUUGAAUUCCCCACUAGGUUGUGUGCUUCUAGAGGACAAGACUGUGUUUCCUUGAUUGCUGUCUCUCUAUUCCAUCCCAACCCCAACCACUAGCACAAUGUUCUAGUUGCAGAAAAUACUCAAUAAAUAUUUGUUUUGAUUAA